UGGCGAACGGGUGAGUAACACGUGAGCAACGUGCCCAAGACUCUGGAAUAACUUCGGGAAACCGGAGCUAAUACUGGAUACGAGACGUAAAGGCAUCUUUAGCGUCUGGAAAGAAUUUCGGUCUUGGAUCGGCUCACGGCCUAUCAGCUUGUUGGUGAGGUAAUGGCUCACCAAGGCGACGACGGGCAGCCGGCCUGAGAGGGUGACCGGCCACACUGGGACUGAGACACGGCCCAG
rnacentral:rRNA from 1 species